UCGAUGCAUAAGAUAGCGGCUUCUCUCACACCUGGAUUAGGAUCAUAUAACAUCUGUAGUAUCUGUAUAUUUGAAGAUGAAGAGUGGGAUGGUAAGGAAGAAUAGCUCGUUGCAGGGGCAGCUCAGUAGAUGCAAAUAGACCAAUGGCAGAUGUGACAGUUCUUGCAAACUCCUCUCUAACUCUCCAGCUUUUGUGAGUCCAGGCGUUAUAUCCAGCUCUUUCAACGAUAAGGGUUGGAGA
rnacentral:lncRNA from 1 species